rnacentral:rRNA from 1 species
AUGAGGCAACACUUCACUAGAUGGGCGAAACAUACCAACGGGAUAUACAAAAAGGAAAAACAAUGGCUCUGUACCAUCAUUGACGACCUCGACAAAAUUGUUGAGACGCACACCUUAUCUCAACAAGGGAUUGAAUUGAAAAAUCAAUCUAAUGAGAAGGUUGCACGUCUUUUGCGAGAAGAGGAGAUCAAAUACUACCAAAGAUCCAAAGCCGAUUUCACUCUGAUGGGUGAUAUUGCGCAUACGUGGCAACCAGCGUUUGGGCGCACUAUUGGAUUGCGGCGACCGCGGAACGGCACGCAUUAUGUUUCCCACCUGCGCGGCGCAACCUCCGGCCGAUCCGACCCACCCCCGCUGCAAAACCGUCGGUGGCGUCGCCCUUCCACCGCGCCGCCACUUCACUACCCCUCCGCCGCCGGCCUCGUCCUCCUUUCCGUCACACACCACAAGCGUUUAAAGAGAGGGGAGCGAGCGAGCGAGUGCCCGCACACGCGUCACUUCUCCGAUCUGGUCCGGCUGUUCCGCCAGAGAGCAAGCCCGGGAUCCCGCCUUUGUUCUAGCUGCCGCUGCGUGCUGCCAAUUCCGAAGAUCGACUCACAGGACUGA